rnacentral:rRNA from 1 species
GACGAACGCUGGCGGCGUGCCUAAUACAUGCAAGUAGAACGCUGAAGGAGGAGCUUGCUCUUCUGGAUGAGUUGCGAACGGGUGAGUAACGCGUAGGUAACCUACCUGGUAGCGGGGGAUAACUAUUGGAAACGAUAGCUAAUACCGCAUAACAGUAGAUGUUGCAUGACAUUUACUUAAAAGGUGCAAUUGCAUCACUACCAGAUGGACCUGCGUUGUAUUAGCUAGUUGGUGGGGUAACGGCUCACCAAGGCGACGAUACAUAGCCGACCUGAGAGGGGGAUCGGCCACACUGGGACUGAGACACGGCCCAGACUCCUACGGGAGGCAGCAGUAGGGAAUCUUCGGCAAUGGACGGAAGUCUGACCGAGCAACGCCGCGUGAGUGAAGAAGGUUGUCGGAUCGUAAAGCUCUGUUGUAAGAGAAGAACGAGUGUGAGAGUGGAAAGUUCACACUGUGACGGUAGCUUACCAGAAAGGGACGGCUAACUACGUG